rnacentral:rRNA from 1 species
AAAACAUGUCCUUUUGUUAUUUAUAUAAGGUCUAACCUGCCCAAUGAUUUAUUUAAUGGCCGCGGUAUUUUAACCGUGCUAAGGUAGCAUAAUCAUUUGUCUUCUAAUUAAGGGCUGGAAUGAAAGGUUGGACGAGAUACUAACUUUCUUUAGUUUAAUUUUUUGAAUUUUAUUUUUAAGUGAGAAAGCUUAGAUUUGUUUGUUGGACGAGAAGACCCUGUAGAUCUUUAUAUUUUAUUUGGUUGUAAAAUUUAGUGAUUAAUUUUUAUAAUUAAUAUAAGUAUUUGGUUGGGGUGAUUAUAGAAUUGCAAUAACUUCUAUUUUUUAUUUUCAUUAAUUAGUGUUUUUUUGAUCCAUUUAUAUUGAUUACAAGAUUAAGUUACCUUAGGGAUAACAGCGUAAUUUUUACGGAGAGUUCAUAUCGAUGUAGGAGUUUGCGACCUCGAUGUUGGAUUAAAAUUAGUUUUGAAUGUAGCAGUUUAAUAACUAGGUCUGUUCGACCUUUUAAUUUUUACAUGAUCUGAG